rnacentral:tRNA from 1 species
CCCGUGAUAGCUCAGUUGGUAGAGCGGAGGACUGUAGUGGUUGCAUUGUGCAGGCAUCCUUAGGUCGGCGGUUCGACUCCGUCUCGCGGGA